rnacentral:ncRNA from 1 species
GAAAGCCGUAUGCGGGAAAACCGCACGUACGGUUUGAUGAGGGGGCGGUGGCAAUCCCACUGCUCUACUCUAU